GGAGAGAAACCGCUUAAACUGACAGUGACUGAUGGUGAAUGGGACAGACAGUGAGCCUGACGGGUGGCAAUAGCCUGGCAGUGACAACCUACAGGUGAUAACUUCGUGGUGACUCUAGUUGUGCUACUGUUUCUGAUAGGACCUUUCUGAUGGAGCAAAGUCAUAUGUAGCAUACACUGUUUCCACUUGUAUGUUAAUAGUGACAAGAACAUCACGGUAGAGGGUGCUGUAGAGAAGGUCUUCUCGUGAUAUUGGAGAAGCGAAGAGAGAGAGAGGGACGUAGGAAGGCAAGCCUCAGGUUUAUACGUGGUGAGAACUGUUGAGAAACACACUCUGCCUGGAAGAGGCAGAGAGCAACUGAGCGGCACAUUAUGUAGUAAAUUCCAAGUCUCUAGCUUUUGUGAGCCAUC
rnacentral:lncRNA from 1 species